rnacentral:rRNA from 1 species
UACGAAGGGAGCUAGCGUUGUUCGGAAUCACUGGGCGUAAAGCGCACGUAGGCGGAUUUGCCAGUCAGGGGUGAAAUCCCGGGGCUCAACCUCGGAACUGCCUUUGAUACAGCAAGUCUUGAGUUCGAGAGAGGUGGGUGGAAUUCCUGGUGUAGCGGUGAAAUGCGUAGAUAUCAGGAGGAAUACCGGUGGCGAAAGCGACUCUCUGGACGGCAACUGACGCUGAGGCACGAAAGCGUGGGGAGCAAACAGG